UGGUGGGUAGUUUGACUGGGGCGGUCUCCUCCCAAAGAGUAACGGAGGAGCACGAAGGUUGGCUAAUCCUGGUCGGACAUCAGGAGGUUAGUGCAAUGGCAUAAGCCAGCUUGACUGCGAGCGUGACGGCGCGAGCAGGUGCGAAAGCAGGUCAUAGUGAUCCGGUGGUUCUGAAUGGAAGGGCCAUCGCUCAACGGAUAAAAGGUACUCCGGGGAUAACAGGCUGAUACCGCCCAAGAGUUCAUAUCGACGGCGGUGUUUGGCACCUCGAUGUCGGCUCAUCACAUCCUGGGGCUGAAGUAGGUCCCAAGGGUAUGGCUGUUCGCCAUUUAAAGUGGUACGCGAGCUGGGUUUAGAACGUCGUGAGACAGUUCGGUCCCUAUCUGCCGUGGGCGCUGGAGAAUUGAGGGGGGCUGCUCCUAGUACGAGAGGACCGGAGUGGACGCAUCACUGGUGUUCGGGUUGUCAUGCCAAUGGCACUGCCCGGUAGCUAAAUGCGGAAGAGAUAAGUGCUGAAAGCAUCUAAGCACGAAACUUGCCCC
rnacentral:rRNA from 3 species